rnacentral:lncRNA from 1 species
GUAUUAUUGAAGACCGGACUGUGUGAUGACCUCGUGCUCAAGAAGAAAAGCUCCAAAGACUAGUGUGUUGUUCAAGAUGAGUAGGCUAGAUCGGCGCAUCUGUCCCUGGCUGGAAGUCGGUUGUAUGUAACCCUAAGAACCCCUGGUGCCUAUAUAAACCAGAGGGUUUCAUCCGCGUAGACAGGUUGAUCCAUCUAGGGUUUUAGCUGAUACGAUCUUAAGGUAUAUCAACUUUGUAAUCCUCAUACACAUCAAUAUAAUCUAGC